AUUGAACGCUGGCGGCAGGCCUAACACAUGCAAGUCGAACGAGUGGCGGACGGGUGAGUAAUGUCUGGGAAACUGCCUGAUGGAGGGGGAUAACUACUGGAAACGGUAGCUAAUACCGCAUACCAUCGGAUGUGCCCAGAUGGGAUUAGCUAGUAGGUGGGGUAAAGGCUCACCUAGGCGACGAUCCCUAGCUGGUCUGAGAGGAUGACCAGCCACACUGGAACUGAGAAACGGCCCAGACGCCUACGGGAGGCAGCAGUGGGGAAUUGUGCACAAUGGGCGAAAGCCUGAUGCAGCCAUGCCGCGUGUAUGAUGAAGGCCUGCGGGUUGUAAAGUACUGGCAGCAGGGAGGCGUUACCCGCAGAAGAAGCACCGGCUAACUCCGUGCCAGCAGCCGCGGUAAUUC
rnacentral:rRNA from 1 species